rnacentral:lncRNA from 1 species
GUUGACAUAAAAUUAGCUAGUACAUUGACUCACUGAGUUUAAUUAGGGUUACUGCAUGAGCACGCGUGGAAGAUUUUCACUAGAGCACAAGCAACCUAUCAGUGGGUAAGCCACCAAGGAAAGUGACACACCCUUCUAGCACCUGUUAUUUCAAGAGUUGCUCAGGGAAGAGUGGUCCUUACAAGCCCUUCCCCUUCCAUGAUGAAAUGUUGAUGAGCCAUUCCUGUCCAGGUAGUGUGUGGGCAGCCAUGGCUACAGUGAGUGAUGAGUGCAGUAGCCAUGCCAUAUCUAGACGGCAUAUUUUGUAUUUUUCUUAUCCUCUAGGACUUAUAUUUUCUACCUCCUAUUCUGUGAGCCUUGGAAGGGUGAUAGAGAUGUUCCUUUUAGGGCCAGUACUCUGCACUUUAAGCAGUUAUGAGUAUCUGCAUUAACUCCCACCUACUACAAGCAGCUUCUUUGACAAAGCCUGAGAGCAUCGGUAGUUUACUGAUGUGAACAUGGCAAUUUGAAAGGUAAUUUGAAACAUGAACAUUUAGCAAAACAAUAAUAGUAGUCAUAGUUAUAGUCAUAGUAGUAGGAGAAGAAGGAGGAAGUGGCUCUCUCCUAGGUCCUAUGACCUCUCAACCAUGGGCUUUUUUUCCAGGGUUUUACAAGUUCUCUCCUGUCUUCACAGGAUGUCUCAAAGCCGGCAAGAAAGAAGUUGGUGACCCCCAUCAUAAUCAUGCUAUUCUUAUACCGAUGGACACAUCUUGCCUGACAGGUCCCUUUGUUUGCUCACAUGGCUCACAGGGCCAUCUCCAUGUACUGGCGGUUAAUGCAUUGAUGAUUUUGGUUACUCUACAAAGCAUUACUGUCAGCUAUUUUUUUCACACCUGUGACCAAUUAUCUGAAUAAACAAUAAUAGAAAUAAUGUAUUUUAGCUCGUAUUGCAGAGGUUUUAGCCUAUAGUAUUUGGCAUACUUGCUUCUGAGCCAUGUCGGGAGAACAUCUUGACAGGGAGCAUGUGUGGACCAGGGAAGUUCACUUCUACUAUGGAUAGGGAGUACACAAGGGCCUGGGGCAAGAGAGAACUCAAAGCUAUGAUCACAGUGACUUUCUGGCUGGCCUGGACUCACUAUGUAGAUGAGGCUGGCCUCAAACUCAUAGAGAUCUACCUGCCUCUACCUCCCAAAUACUGGGAUUAAAAGUGUGCCCUACCUACCCUUGCCCUUUCAAGCUAACCCCCUUUUCCAUUUCCCCUUUCAAAUCACCUGUCUCCUGCUAUUACCCUUUCUUUUUUUUUUCACAGUUACUGUGGUGUUUAUUCAAAUAAUAAAUUCUUAAUAGUCAUUAGCAAACUUAAGCACUGGGGGUUUUGAAAACAUACAACAGGGUUUGAAAAUGCUUAUUAUAAAAUCUGGAUAUAUAUCUUCUCAACUUUGACAGUUACUGAAUAUUUGUUUGUCAGGUCUAUUCAGCUCAGAUUUUAUAGCAUAAAACAGUUACAAAUCAUACAGAAACAAAAACAUGUGUGCAAUUUAUUUAUUUAUUUAUGUAUUUAUUCAUUACGUAUUUUCCUCAAUUACAUUUCCAAUGCUAUCCCAAAAGUCCCCCAUACCACCCCCCCCACUUCCCUACCCACCUAUUCCCAUUUUUUUGGCCCUGGCGUUCCCCUGUCCUGGGGCAUAUAAAGUUUGUGUGUCCAAUGGGCCUCUCUUUCCAGUGAUGGCCGACUAGGUUUCAAGAGCCCCUCUCCCACCAUGCCCUAUUUUUCUUUCCUGGUCUCUGCAGUAACUCAGGUUAUAUACUCAAACCUGAAGAUUGAGAGUUUGGAACCACAAAUGUCUUUCUGGGUUAUAUCACUCAAUAUAAUUUUUUCUAGGCCCAUACAUUUACCUGAAAAUUUAACAACUCAUCCUUCUUUAUAGCUAACUAGUAUUCUAGAGUGUAUAUGUACCACUUUUUCAUCAUCCAUUAAUCGAGGAUGUCCCCAUUUCUUAGCUAUUGUAAACAGUGGCGAUAAACGUGGCUGAGCGAAUAUCUGUGAAGUGGUUUGUCUAGUCAUUUGGACAUAUGGUAAAUGUAUUUUUAUUUUUUUGUAAAUUUUAUACAGUGAUUUCUAGAGUGGCUGGACUAGUUUCCCAUCUCAGCAACAGUGGAGGAGCGCUGUCCUCUGCGCACAUCCUCGCCGGCGCUCGUUGCCAGCGCUUGUUGCCUGUUGGUUUAGGGAUUCUGACUGAAGUGAAAUCUCAGUGGUUUAACUUGCAGUUUCCUCAUUCCUAGGGAUGUGGAACCUUUUCGGAGAUGUUUCUUAGCUAGUUUUGUUUCUUCUUUUGAGAGCACUGUUCAUAUCCAUAGCCUGUUUUUAAACUGAGCCUUUUGUUUUCUUAACUCUUCUUUGUUUUUUAGUUCUUUGUAGAUUAUGGAUAUUAAGCCUCUAUCAUAUGUAUAGCUGGCAAAGACCCUCUCUCACUCUGGGGCUUUCUCUUCAUUUGGCUUCCUUUGUUGUACAGAAGCAUUUUAGUUCUAUAAGAUCCCAUUUGUCAAUUGUUGACACUAGUUAAUGAAAAGUUGGAGUCCUGUAUAGAACGUUUAUCCCUACACCUAUGUCUUAGUGUGUUGUCUGUUUUCCUCUACAAGUUUCAGCAUUUGGGUUUCACACCGAGGUCUGAGGCAUUGCAGUUGAUUCUGUGCAUUGGGUUUCACACUGAGGUCUUUGAGGCAUUUGCAGUUGACUUUGUGCAGGUAGUAAUGACAGAUCUAAUUUUAUGUGGACAUUUAGUUUUUCCAGCACCACUUGUUGAAAUUGUUGGUUUUUCCUCAGUGAGUAUUUUUUUUUUACUUGUAUGUCUGUAAUAUUCCAAAGAGUUUAGACAUUCUAGAUACGCUAUUUUAUGUUUUAGAAAAUUUUACAUAGUGUUUAUUUUUAACUUAAAAAAGCCUUCUUUUUGAAAAUUUCAGAAGCUAACCAAGUAAUCACGUUGGUCAGAUUACUUACUUAAAACUUCUAAUCAUUAAUUUUCUUAGAGAUAAUUUUCUGUUUUCUUUAUACUGCAGUGUGAUUUUGUCCAGAACAGUUAAGUUAUUGGUUUGUGAUAAGGUAGGAUUCCUUUUUUGUGUGUGAAGCAAAAUGAAACAGAUGAAACUUAGUUGAUAGAUAAACUAGGUACUGCAAUUCUGUGUGCUGCCUCACUGUUGUGGCAAUCAUGAAGAAUUCUGAUAUUAUCUGUGCCAGCAUUCAUGACCUCUGCUGUUUGUCUG